rnacentral:rRNA from 1 species
AUGGCUGGGCUCGUCAUCUCCAAGGCUGGUGGAGGCUUCUCCAUCACCAAGUCAUGUGCUUCUGGACGUCCUAAGGCUGUUGCGGCUGGGCGCCCCAAGGUGACUCCGGCGGCCAGAGCGGCUGAACUGCUGGUGUGCCGCACUCUAUGCAUCGUCAAGGAUGGGCAGGAUGUCACUGCUGCCGCCCUGGACGCUUUCGCUAAGCGUUUCAAGGAGCACCUGCCACCAGAUGUAAUCGUAGCCAUGCGAGGAUUGUUCAAGCUCGAUUACAAUAGCGCUACGGGCAUGGAGGAGGCCUUCAUUGCGCAUGGAGGUGAUGGUGCACUCGACCUGGAGUCGAACGACGACGGCAUCGUGGCUCAGCUGGCUAAUGCUUGA